AUUGAACGCUGGCGGCAUGCCUUACACAUGCAAGUCGAACGGUAACAAGUCUCCGGAUGCUGACGAGUGGCGAACGGGUGAGUAAUACAUCGGAACGUGCCCGAGAGUGGGGGAUAACGAGGCGAAAGCUUUGCUAAUACCGCAUACGAUCUCAGGCUGAAAGCAGGGGACCGCAAGGCCUUGCGCCCCCGGAGCGGCCGAUGGCAGAUUAGGUAGUUGGUGGGAUAAAAGCUUACCAAGCCGACGAUCUGUAGCUGGUCUGAGAGGACGACCAGCCACACUGGGACUGAGACACGGCCCAGACUCCUACGGGAGGCAGCAGUGGGGAAUUUUGGACAAUGGGCGCAAGCCUGAUCCAGCCAUGCCGCGUCCAGGAUGAAGGCCUUCGGGUUGUAAACUGCUUUUGUACGGAACGAAAAGACUCUGGUUAAUACCUGGGGUCCAUGACGGUACCGUAAGAAUAAGCACCGGCUAACUACGUGCCAGCAGCCGCCGUAAUAC
rnacentral:rRNA from 1 species